AAGUGGAGUGGUAAUAGUUGAACGUUUUGCUUCCCUUUGUAGGAACACGGACAUCGCUAGCAGGAGAAAGUAUGUGAGGUUGGUAGAGUCAGUCAAGAAAUAUGGCGGUACAGUGCACACAUUUCUUACUGCAUGCUCUUUAUUCAUAGAUGCUCAUUUCACACCAUGAUCAAUGAGAAUUUCGAACUUCAAUAAACUGUCACACUGUUCUGGACAUGAGGUCUAACAAAAACUAUAGUUCAAUGUAGUGUUUUUCUCCCUUCUUGAUCGAUGUGGCAGAGGUCAUGGACUGCUUUGAUGCUUGCAAAAUUGUUUUUCCAUCUCUACUAUUUUCUACCUUUGGAACUACUUAAAUUGAUUUCCUCAUGUUGGUCAUUGUUCUCACUUGGGUGGACUCUGUCCUUUUUUUUCGCGAAUACGCAAGCUGUGUAUCAUUUCAUUGAUAGGUAGGAGAACAAGAGUUACAACUUACAAGGUGGUAGAUACAUAGCUCGUACACCGGAGGGCGAGGAUGGAUCUACAAUGAGCAGAAGAAGCCGGGGUGCUCAGCCCAAACACAAACAGGUGCAGAGGCA
rnacentral:lncRNA from 1 species